rnacentral:rRNA from 1 species
AGAUAUUUGGAGGAACACCGAUGGCGUAAGCAGCCAACUGGACGAUUACUGACGCUGAGAUACGAAAGCGUGGGGAGCAAACAGGAUUAGAUACCCUGGUAGUCCACGCCGUAAACGAUGUCAACUAGCCGUUGGGUCCCUUGAGGACUUAGUGGCGCAGCUAACGCAAUAAGUUGACCGCCUGGGGAGUACGGCCGCAAGGUUAAAACUCAAAUGAAUUGACGGGGGCCCGCACAAGCGGUGGAGCAUGUGGUUUAAUUCGAUGCAACGCGAAAAACCUUACC